rfam:TPA: Bos taurus chromosome 3, whole genome shotgun sequence.
UCCUGGUGGCUCAGAUGUUAAAGGAUCUGCCUGCAAUGCAGGAGACCCAGGUUCAAUCCCUGGGUCGGGAA